GACGAACGCUGGCGGCGUGCUUAACACAUGCAAGUCGAACGGAAAGGCCUCUUUCGGGGGGUACUCGAGUGGCGAACGGGUGAGUAACACGUGAGUAACCUGCCCUUGACUUUGGGAUAACUUCAGGAAACUGGGGCUAAUACCGGAUAGGAGCUCCUGCUGCAUGGUGGGGGUUGGAAAGUUUCGGCGGUUGGGGAUGGACUCGCGGCUUAUCAGCUUGUUGGUGGGGUAGUGGCUUACCAAGGCUUUGACGGGUAGCCGGCCUGAGAGGGUGACCGGCCACAUUGGGACUGAGAUACGGCCCAGACUCCUACGGGAGGCAGCAGUGGGGAAGAUUGCACAAUGGGUGGAAGCCUGAUGCAGCAACGCCGUGUGCGGGAUGACGGCCUUCGGGUUGUAAACCGCUUUCGCUCAUGACGAAGCUUUGUGUGACAGUAGUGGGUAAAGAAGCACCGGCUAACUACGUG
rnacentral:rRNA from 1 species